GGGGCUGCAUCUGGCAUCCUGGGGGCACCCCUCUCUCUGUCCAGUAGGCUCUGCCCUGGAAUCUGGCCUUGGCUGAGGACCCAGAGCCCUGCCUGUACUUGCUGCAGGGGCAGAGGGCGGUGGGCAGGCGCGUCUUGGGCCGUCUGCUGGCCAGUCCCCAAGCCAGGGGCCUCCAGGGGCUCCUCUCCAAGGCUUCCCACCCGGGGCCCUGCUGUCCUCUCCCCUCCCAGUAAUUCCCGGAAAACAGCCCAUUGUUUGGAAGACUUGAACCUGAAGUGAGUGGAGAAAGACACUUACUCAGUUGUUCGUUGUUAGGGCACAGUGAGGUUUCAGGGUGAACCAGGAGUCGCAGUUUCAGCCCAGCAAGCCCUUGCCCUCAGCGCAGUCAGCGUGCAGCCCCCGCCAGCGGGGGGACGGUCUCCUUCAUUCCCUCCCUACCUCCCCCCCUUCCCUCUCUUCUCUGUCUCUCUGCUUUUUUUAAAAGUGGAUUUUAACUUGUUGAAGUCUGUUUAGAAUAAUUUUAUCACACUUCAUUUACUUCCAGCCACACCACGUGGUUCAGUGGGCCUUGGGUCCAGACACCCAGCGGUGAGCGUGCAGAGUCCUGACUGCUGGACCUCCGGGGACGCCCUCCCUGCGCUUCUCCCUGACCCCUUCCUUCUCUCUCUCACCCAAGGCUCCUGUGGGCCAGGGGAGUGGGAGUGGGGCUUGGACGCAUCCUUGGAUGGCAUCCUAUCCCUAACGGGGUAGACAGACAAGUGAACAGUCGAAAUGCAAGGGCUCCGGGACAGUUCUGCGCCUAGGCAAGCUUGUUUCUGUUGGCAGCGUGUAAACUGGCACAACUGCUUUGGAAAAGAGUUUGACUGCAUCUUCUAAAGCCAAGUACAUGCCCACCCUCUGACCCAGCGACUUCACUUCUUUCUUUGCAUAUACACCCAACAGAAAGGUGUACACAUGUGCCCCAAAAGACAGGAACUGUUCCUAGCAGUACCGGUCAUUAACUGACAAAAAUACCAGAAAUUACCCAAAUGCUCAUCAAUGGUGAAAUAAAUUAUGGUCUGUUCACAGGCGGGGAAGGCUGUCCAGUGAUGCGAAUAAACCACCUGCAGUUCUGCAUAGGGAGAGAGGGAAGCCGGACACAAGAGAGGACUGCUUGGAUGAUUGCAUUUGCAUGAAGUGCAGAAGCAGGGAAAACUAGCUGAGGGGUAGAGGUCAGGGCGGAGAUGCCCUGGGGCGGGACUAGUGUCUCGCCUGGGAGGAGUCUGAUGAUGCUGUUUACCCAGGCCGUGCAUCUGGGGACAAUCCACUGAGGUCUGAGUACUUUGUGCCUGUGAGUGAAACUUCAACAGAACCUUUACCCUGGUGGGAGGAGCCCUGCGACGUGGGUGGACAAAUAAGGGAGCAGCCAGCUAUUACAGGAGAUCAAGGCAGGCUUCCUGGAGGUGGUGUCCCCCAAGCUACAUCUUGAAAGAUGAAACAGAGGGGGCGGGACAAGGACACAGCAAAGCAGAGACCCAGGAUCUGCCCCUCUCUGGGAGUGAAGCUCUUUACUGUCACAAAGCGGAGUCAGUGACUUGAGUCCGUGACCUGACCUUGACUGUGGCCUGCUCCUGCUUUGCCUCCAUGUGAGGAGGCCCGAGGGUCUGUCUUGCUCCAGUAUUUUUCCUGGGUUUACGCGGAGGCUCGGCUUCUGAUUCCAACAGAGCUUAGCUGUGAGCCAGGACCUCCCUUGGGGGAGGGAUCUGUGUGGUUGGGAAGUGACCCUUUCUUUUCUGUUAAGGUUAAUUAAUUUAUUUGCCUGCACCGGGUCUUUGCUGAGGCAUGUGGGAUCUUGUUCCCCAUCCAGGGAUUGAGCACAGGCCUAGCUGCCGGGCCCCCGAGAAGUUCCCAAUCCUUUCUUCAAACAAAGGGAGUCUGGUAGGAAAGGCGUUGAGAAUUGUAGAGUCCAUCAUGGAGGCAGGAAUAGCAGGGCCUGGACCUGACCUUCUUUGAGCGCUUGCUGCGGGCCAGGGACAGCGGGGCACGCUGCCAUCCAGCGACCGAUGGCAUGGAUGGACGUGUCGCUAGAGGAGCGAUGGAGUGCCACUCUUACUGACCACUCACCAGGCCCUGGGUUAAGGGCUGUGUCCGUCUUCAUGUUGAGUGGGUAUUGUUGAUCCCAUUCUACAGCGAAGAAGACUGACACUCAGAGGGGCAGCAGGUCUGAGUUGGCAGCGGGAUCCUUCACUGGCAUGUGGGCUCAGCUGCGCCAGGCCGGGUGGGACUCAGUUCCCCGACCAGGGAUGGAACCCGAGUCUUCUGCAUUGGAAGGUAGCUUCUCAACCCCUGGACCACCCCGCAAGUCCCUCCUGGCCCCUCUUCGUGACCGCGGGUGAAGCCUUGUGCCCAGUGGGUGGU